rnacentral:lncRNA from 1 species
AUGGUCCAUGAUCCAGCUCCCAAAGGCAAAUCCAAUGGCGGUGGUGGCGGUGUGAAGCACGUGGGCAGCGGUGAUUUUCCAUCAUGGGUUGGCAAACACAGCAGGAAGCUCCUUCAGGCCUCAUCAGUGUCACCAGAUGUUACAGUAGCUGCAGAUGGAACUGGGAAUUAUACUACUGUGAUGGAUGCAGUCCAAGCAGCCCCUGAUUACAGCCAGAACCACUAUGUAAUCUACAUCAAGCAAGGCAUUUAUAGGGAGAAUGUGGAGAUCAAGAAGAAGAAAUGGAACCUGAUGAUGGUCGGAGAUGGGAUGGGCGCUACUGUCAUUACUGGAAACCGGAG